rnacentral:misc_RNA from 1 species
GAUGAAGAACGUAGCGAAAUGCGAUACGUAAUGUGAAUUGCAGAAUUCAGUGAAUCAUCGAAUCUUUGAACGCAUAUUGCGCUCUCUGGUAUUCCGGAGAGCAUGCUUGUUUGAGUAUCAGUAAACACCUCAACCUCCAUAUCUUUUUUGAAAUGGGAGUUGGACUUGAGUGAUCCCAACGCUUUUCCUCACCGAAAAGUGGCGGGUUACUUGAAAUGCAGGUGCAGCUGGACUUUUCUCUGAGCUAUAAGCAUAUCUAUUUAGUCUGCCUAAAAAACAGAUUAUUACCUUUGCUGCAGCUAACAUAAAGGAGAUUAGUUCUUGUGCUGACUGAUGCAGGAUUCACAAAGACAGGCUUCGGCCGACUUUGUAAACUCGAUCUCAAAUCAAGUAAGACUACCCGCUGAACUUAAGCAUAUCAAUAAGCGGAGGA